AUGCAAGUCGAACGAAGUUAUUUGAGCUUGCUUAGAUAACUUAGUGGCGGACGGGUGAGUAACACGUGAGCAAUCUGCCUUUCAGAGGGGGAUACCGAUUGGAAACGAUCGUUAAUACCGCAUAACAUAGUAAAUUCGCAUGUUUUUACUAUCAAAGAUUUAUCGCUGAAAGAUGAGCUCGCGUCUGAUUAGGUAGUUGGUGAGGUAGCGGCCCACCAAGCCGACGAUCAGUAGCCGGACUGAGAGGUUGAACGGCCACAUUGGGACUGAGACACGGCCCAGACUCCUACGGGAGGCAGCAGUGGGGAAUAUUGCACAAUGGAGGAAACUCUGAUGCAGCGAUGCCGCGUGAGGGAAGAAGGUUUUCGGAUUGUAAACCUCUGUGUACAGGGACGAUAAUGACGGUACCUGUUCAGAAAGCUCCGGCUAACUACGUGCCAGCAGCCGCGGUAAUACGUAGGGAGCGAGCGUUGUCCGGAAUUACUGGGUGUAAAGGGAGUGUAGGCGGGACGGCAAGUCAGAUGUGAAAUUUAGGGGCUCAACCCCUGACCUGCAUUUGAAACUGCUGUUCUUGAGUGAAGUAGAGGUAAGCGGAAUUCCUAGUGUAGCGGUGAAAUGCGUAGAUAUUAGGAGGAACAUCAGUGGCGAAGGCGGCUUACUGGGCUUUAACUGACGCUGAGGCUCGAAAGCGUGGGGAGCAAACAGGAUUAGAUACCCUGGUAGUCCACGCCGUAAACGAUGAUUACUAGGUGUGGGGGGACUGACCCCUUCCGUGCCGCAGUUAACACAAUAAGUAAUCCACCUGGGGAGUACGGUCGCAAGACUGAAACUCAAAGGAAUU
rnacentral:rRNA from 1 species